UCAGUGGUUAAAAGAACUCAGUUAAGUUCU
rnacentral:piRNA from 1 species